rnacentral:rRNA from 1 species
UAAUACGUAGGGUGCGAGCGUUAAUCGGAAUUACUGGGCGUAAAGAGUGCGUAGGCGGUUUUGUAAGACAGAUGUGAAAUCCCCGGGCUUAACCUGGGAACUGCAUUUGUGACUGCAAGACUAGAGUGUGUCAGAGGGAGGUGGAAUUCCGCGUGUAGCAGUGAAAUGCGUAGAGAUGCGGAAGAACACCGAUGGCGAAGGCAGCCUCCUGGGAUAACACUGACGCUCAGGCACGAAAGCGUGGGAGCAAACAGGAUUAGAUACCCUGGUAGUCCACGCCCUAAACGAUGUCAACUGGUUGUUGGGGAUUCAUUUCCUUAGUAACGUAGCUAACGCGUGAAGUUGACCGCCUGGGGAGUACGGCCGCAAGGUUAAAACUCAAAGGAAUUGACGGGGACCCGCACAAGCGGUGGAUGAUGUGGAUUAAUUCGAUGCAACGCGAAAAACCUUACCUACCCUUGACAUGUCGAGAACUUUUCAGAGAUGAAUUGGUGCCCGAAAGGGAACUCGAACACAGGU